AAAAACAAAAAAACUAUACCUGUCUCCUCCUAUGUCGCUGCUGCGCCGAAACAGAUCCAGAGAGAAGUGAGGGGGAUGGGCUGCUCAUGAGCGAGAGCUCGGUGAGGGAGGAGACGGGGAGAGGAACCGCUCAAGCGCAGGAGAAGAGGUCGACGACGAGGGGAACCGCUCAAGCGGACGAGAAGAGCUCGAAGAAGAGGGGAACGCUUCCUCGCAUGGUACAGCCGCAAGGGUGGAAAUAAGAUGGCACAUGAUUGGGAAACAAAAUUGAGACCAUUCGUUGAGCAGUGGAGAACAGCAAGCUCGGUUCACUGGCACGAGGAGGCGCUCUUUGACCUAGCUGCACACGAGGCUUACCUAUGGUGUGGUCACAAAUGAGAUUCUGCUACAUACCAAGAGCUGACCCUGAGGACAUGGAGACGGCUCAGACUUCAGCUUCGGAGACGCACUACAGUUCUUCCGUGACUAGCGUCAUAGAUCACUCGGGAAUUUGCAAGCCCAGUUGACGCUGGAGGCUCAAGAAGAGACUGCCGCGAUAGUUAACCGACUGACCAUGGGGAACGAAAUGACUCCGUCCGAGAAUCUAGCAGCAUGGCAGUGUAUUGAGAGCAAGCCGCGGAGGAUCUUGGAGACUUUGAGGCAUACCAUCAGACAACCUGCCUAGUUGCGAAGCACACACUCCCCCAUGCCCCUCACACCGUGCUAGGCCGGCGUUCCAGCCGACUCCGAUGGCGUGGCGGCAGCCAACUGUCCGGCUGCUGCCUCCACCUUCCGCAGUCCGGUGGCUCCUCCUGGUAGCACCAGCCUCUCCCUCCCCCUGCACAGCUCUCAGUGAUGAUGACAACAGGUUCACCAGAUACUCCACCACCGCCGGCCACACAGGCCAUUCUGGUCAUGCCACCUCCAGCGCAAUCCCAUACCCGCAAGAGACAUCGCCGUCCUACUCGUAGUCAUAGAGUUGCUGCGCAGGGUCGUGGACAGGGAAGACAUGAGGAUGAUACGGUUAGAGGACAGACAGACGGUUAGCGAUGUCCCACUAUAUGAUUUGACUUUCUUGACUUCAUUAUAUCCAUAUA